rnacentral:rRNA from 1 species
UUAACGAUAAUGCGGGCGAGAAACCCGCACACCGAAAAACUAAGGUUUCCACAGCUAUGCUAAUCAGCUGUGGGUUAGUCUGGUCCUAAGGCGAACCCGAAAGGGACAGUCGAUGGCUAACGGGUUAAUAUUCCCGUACUACUAAUUACUGUGAUGGGGUGACGGAGUGAUGAAAGCGCCGCGAACUGACGGAAUAGUUCGUUGAAGUACCUACCUAUAGGAUCUGCAGGCAAAUCCACAGAUCUUGGGGAAAUACGAUAGUACUCGGAGUCUUCGGACAAAGAGAUAGUGCGCCUAAGGGCUUCCAAGAAAAACCUCUAAACUUCAGGUAAUUAGUACCAGUACCGUAAACCGACACAGGUAGUUGAGGAGAGAAUCCUAAGGUGCUCGAGAGAUUCAUGGCUAAGGAAUUAGGCAAAAUAGACCUGUAACUUCGGGAGAAAGGUCGCCAGCGCAAGCUGGCCGCAGUGAAGAGGUCCAGGCGACUGUUUAUCAAAAACACAGGGCUCUGCAAAAUCGUAAGAUGAAGUAUAGGGCCUGACACCUGCCCGGUGCUGGAAGGUUAAGAGGAGAUGUUAUCUUCGGAGAAGCAUUGAAUUGAAGCCCCAGUAAACGGCGGCCGUAACAAUAACGGUCCUAAGGUAGCGAAAUUCCUUGUCGGGUAAGUUCCGACCUGCACGAAUGGUGUAACGAUCUGGACACUGUCUCAGCCAUGAGCUCGGUGAAAUUGUAGUAACGGUGAAGAUGCCGUUUACCCGCAGUGGGACGAAAAGACCCUGUGCACCUUUACUAUAGCUUAGUAUUGACCUUGGAUAAAUGAUGUGUAGGAUAGGUUGGAGACUGUGAAGUGGCGUCGCCAGGCGUUGUGGAGUCAUUGUUGAAAUACAACCCUUUGUUUAUCUGAGGCCUAACCCCGUUUUGCGGGGGACAUUGCUUGGUGGGUAGUUUGACUGGGGUGGUCGCCUCCAAAAGAGUAACGGAGGCUUCUAAAGGUUCCCUCAGUACGCUUGGUAACCGUGCGUAGAGUGCAAUGGCAUAAGGGAGCUUGACUGAGAGACAUACAGGUCGAUCAGGUACGAAAGUAGAGCAUAGUGAUCCGGUGGUUCCGCAUGGAAGGGCCAUCGCUCAAAGGAUAAAAGGUACGCCGGGGAUAACAGGCUGAUCUCCCCCAAGAGCUCAUAUCGACGGGGGGGUUUGGCACCUCGAUGUCGGCUCGUCACAUCCUGGGGCUGGAGAAGGUCCCAAGGGUUGGGCUGUUCGCCCAUUAAAGUGGCACGCGAGCUGGGUUCAGAACGUCGUGAGACAGUUCGGUCUCUAUCUACUGUGGGCGUUAGAAAUUUGAGUGGAUCUGAUUCUAGUACGAGAGGACCGAAUUGGACAAACCUCUAGUGUAUCUGUUGUCCCGCCAGGGGCACCGCAGAGUAGCUACGUUUGGAAGGGAUAAGCGCUGAAAGCAUAUAAGCGCGAAACCCACCACAAGAUGAGAUUUCUUUUAAGGAUCGUGGAAGAUGACCACGUUGAUAGGCUAUAGAUGUAAAGGCAGUAAUGUCAUAGUCGAGUAGUACUAAUAAUCC